UAAAUUACGUGCUUACGUCUCUGCGUCUAAAACGACCCUAAAUCGGCCUUUAACCUCUUCAUGGUCUGUGACCUCCAACACAAGACCUUGAGCUUGGUUCCUUCAGGCCACCUGAUCAGCUACAUGAACGCUGUCCUGCAGAGCCUGUUGAGCCUUAACCUCUUCCAUGACCUCCAACAAAAGUCCUUGAGCACCUUUAUUUCCAGACCCUGUGUGGUUCUUGCGGAUCACAUCAUUGUGCCUUGAAGACACUGCCCAGUGUCUUUAUCUUCCAUCUGAACCGGAUUGAAAAAGACAAAAAUGGCAUAAAAGGAAAGUUGAAUCAUCCAGUGGUUCUUUGCAGAGCACUGGAUCUUUCCGGUCUCCUGCCUGCCACACAGGAGGCAUUCCGGUACAAGCUGGUCAUUUUCUAAGUGAAAUACUUCUGGUGGGGGCAGGCGUCACUCGAGACGGCUGGCACACCUACAAUAACGAAAUUGUGAAAACAAUCUGCAUCCAUCCUCUUCUACGAACGCCAGGUGGAUCCGGCCCUUCCCAACAAGGGAUGACAUGUUUCAAGCUAACAUUCAUGAAUGGUUUCUUCUCCACAUAAUGGACACACCAUAUAAGGUUUUAUGAGUUUGUAGACGGGUUAAGGACUACAAAUAUGGCCACUUUGCCAUUUCCGCUAAGGCAAUGACAGACCAAAGGUUUACCUGGGUAAAUUAGAACAUUAAGGCGUGGCUUAUUUACAAGUCCGACCACUUCCAAUAUAAAUUUUUCUUACCUGUGUUCGAG
ensembl:lncRNA